rnacentral:lncRNA from 1 species
GUUCCCUACCCUUAUAGACGUAGUUGUACCUGUAUUUAGCAAGGUAUGAGAAAUCCCUUUUGAAUGUCCUUUGACCUUGUUAGUGUUCCUGAUCCUGUGGCUCCCCACCUGAUGUUAUAGAACGCAUUUCCUUGCCCAAUAGUAACUCCAGGUUCCUCUCCAAGCAGGUCACAACCCAGCUCCAGGAGAACCCCCAAAAGCAAGCACCCUGUUCUGGCUUCUAUCCCUGCUGCUCCACCGGACCUGUCUUUGUACAGCUUCUACUCAAGUAAGAAGCCUUCCAUAUGCCCCUCCAUAUCCUGUUCCUCCAGAGGAAACUAUCUGGAAUCAUAAUUCUCUUAUCACAAAUAUAUGACACUAUGUGCUUUAUUUUUGGCCUGUUUUUUUAAAACUUUCUGCAAAUGGAACAAUUUUGCAUCCUUCCUAUAAACUCGCAUUUUUCACUGAGCAUUGUUUCUAAGAUUCACAAUACUAUAUUCACUGUCAUGUAGUUUUUCAAUGUAAGAACAUACCUUGAUUUAGUCACUCUGUUUUUGGACAAUGGGUUACUUCCAGUUUUUGCUGUUGCGAAGAAUGUUGCUGUGAACAGUUUUCAAUAUCACUAAUUUUUUCCCGUACUGAGGAUUGAACCCGGGGAUUUCUCACUGAACUACAUACCCAGUUCCCACCCCCCACACACUUUAUUGUAAGAAAGGAUCUUGUGAGUCACCCAGGCUAGGCUCAAUCUUUCCUCAACCUCCCAGAAUAUUG